CCUACGGGAGGCUGCAGUAGGGAAUAUUGCUCAAUGGGGGAAACCCUGAAGCAGCAACGCCGCGUGGAGGAUGAAGGUUUUCGGAUUGUAAACUCCUUUUGUUAGAGAAGAUAAUGACGGUAUCUAACGAAUAAGCACCGGCUAACUCCGUGCCAGCAGCCGCGGGAAUACGGAGGGUGCAAGCGUUACUCGGAAUCACUGGGCGUAAAGAGCGCGUAGGCGGGAUAGCAAGUCAGAUGUGAAAUCCUAUGGCUUAACCAUAGAACUGCAUUUGAAACUGUUAUUCUAGAGUAUGGGAGAGGUAGGUGGAAUUCUUGGUGUAGGGGUGAAAUCCGUAGAGAUCAAGAGGAAUACUCAUUGCGAAGGCGACCUGCUAGAACAUAACUGACGCUGAUGCGCGAAAGCGUGGGGAGCAAACAGGAUUAGAUACCCCAGUAGUC
rnacentral:rRNA from 1 species